rnacentral:rRNA from 1 species
GGGCCCGCACAAGCGGUGGAGCAUGUGCUUUAAUUCGAUGCAACGCGAAGAACCUUACCUGGGUUUGACAUGGGGGUGAAAGUCUGUAGAGAUAUGGAUCUUUCCGCAAGGAACACCCCACACAGGUGCUGCAUGGUUGUCGUCAGCUCGUGUCGUGAGAUGUUAGGUUAAGUCCUGCAACGAGCGCAACCCUCGCCCUUAGUUGCCAUCAGGUGAUGCUGGGAACUCUAAGGGGACCGCCUGGUUUAACCAGGAGGAAGGUGGGGAUGACGUCAAAUCCUCAUGGCCCUUACGUCCAGGGCUAGACACGUGCUACAAUGGUAGAUACAGCGGGAUGCAAGCUGGUGACAGCAAGCCAAUCCCUUAAAAUCUAUCUCAGUCCGGAUUGAAGUCUGCAAUUCGACUUCAUGAAGCUGGAAUCGCUAGUAAUCGCGGAUCAGCAUGCCGCGGUGAAUACGUUCCCGGGCCUU